CGAACGGGUGAGUAACGCGUGAGGAACCUGCCUCAAAGAGGGGACAACAGUUGGAAACGACUGCUAAUACCGCAUAAGCCCACGGGUCGGCAUCGACCAGAGGGAAAAGGAGCAAUCCGCUUUGAGAUGGCCUCGCGUCCGAUUAGCUAGUUGGUGAGGUAAUGGCCCACCAAGGCAACGAUCGGUAGCCGGACUGAGAGGUUGAACGGCCACAUUGGGACUGAGACACGGCCCAGACUCCUACGGGAGGCAGCAUG
rnacentral:rRNA from 1 species